rnacentral:rRNA from 1 species
GACGAACGCUGGCGGCGUGCCUAAUACAUGCAAGUCGAACGCUUCUUUCCUCCCGAGUGCUUGCACUCAAUUGGAAAGAGGAGUGGCGGACGGGUGAGUAACACGUGGGUAACCUACCCAUCAGAGGGGGAUAACACUUGGAAACAGGUGCUAAUACCGCAUAACAGUUUAUGCCGCAUGGCAUAAGAGUGAAAGGCGCUUUCGGGUGUCGUUGAUGGAUGGACCCGCGGUGCAUUAGCUAGUUGGUGAGGUAACGGCUCACCAAGGCCACGAUGCAUAGCCGACCUGAGAGGGUGAUCGGCCACACUGGGACUGAGACACGGCCCAGACUCCUACGGGAGGCAGCAGUAGGGAAUCUUCGGCAAUGGACGAAAGUCUGACCGAGCAACGCCGCGUGAGUGAAGAAGGUUUUCGGAUCGUAAAACUCUGUUGUUAGAGAAGAACAAGGACGUUAGUAACUGAAUGUCCCCUGACGGUAUCUAACCAGAAAGCCACGGCUAACUACGUG